CUGGUGACAGGUUAAAAUCUUGGCAAAUUGGUACCCAUAUGAUGACCUAUGAAACUCUGUAUUUUGUAUUCCAGAUAUUACUGAUAGCAUCAUAUCUCUUGAUGAAAAAAACCAAAAUAGCCAGUGUGUUCGUUCCAUUGGUCUUAAUGAUAGAAUCCUUCCUCUUUUUUUUCUUCAUUUUUGCGAAUAUACUGGCAUUACCAAGAUAUUUAACAAAGCUGAUAUGGCCCAUUUUUGAUAUUCUCAAUGAUUUUUUUGCAUUUGUAUACCUUGCCUAUGCAGGCUUCUAUUCAAUAAUUCACCCACCAGGCACUAUGGAUAAACUAUACUGGCAAGUAGCUGGACUCAUACUUUCUGUUGCCUUCUUGUCUCUACUAGAUAUUGUUGUACAAACCCUGCUGCUUAAGUACAGGACGGUGAAAGCUAUAUCUGCCCCUCCACCCAGACAGAAGACUUAGCACACUUAAAAUCUCAUGGAAAACAAAGCAUGUAGCCCGCUUCUCUUUUACUAAGAUGAUUUUCUUUUCCUCUAAAAUUCCCAUUUUGACAUUUUCAUGGCAAAGUGCUUUCCCAAAAAAUAAUGUAUGGAAGUCUUUUUUUUCCCCCAGAGGAAUACCAAUUUUAACUUUACCAAAUAAAGUUCUCUUCUGACACUUCA
rnacentral:lncRNA from 1 species